rnacentral:lncRNA from 1 species
UUGUUUAUUACUUUAAUUGCCUUGGACGAAGUAAUAAAUGGUGCCCUUGUAAAAUUAUUGAAGCGGAUUAAACAACAAAAUAGCAACAAUAAAGAGAUCAAGGGAGAGAAGAUGGACACAAACAAUUUAUACCAGUCCCCCUCAAAAUCGGGAGUACUCCAGUCCCCUUGCACCCCCAAAGGAUUUUCACUAUAACCAUAAAAGAUUACAACUGCUCAAGCACACGGCAAGAGACUUCUAACCAAUGCUUAAUCACUAAGCAAGAGACUUCUUAACUUAAUGAUAAAUAAAGAUUAUUGUGAUAAUACAAAACACUAUUGAACACUUAAAUCUAAAAUACAAUGAGUUGAUACCGACUUCAAAGUAUUUUACUUAUGAUGUGAGUUUCGAAGGUUCAUAACUUGAGUGCUUGCAAUAUCAAAGUGAGUAUGAUAUGAUCAAUAUAACGUAUUCGUUAAUUUGGCCUUCACAAAUGUGUCUUGUAUUUAUAGGCAAGUGAUAUGCUCCAUUUGCAAGUGAUCGUUGUACAAAGUGAGUAUGCAAUAGAUAUGAUCAAUAUAACGAGUUGUACUAUGCAGUUUGGUGGUGACAGGAACAAGUUUCUUCAAAGUGGUAAGAGAUCUCUACUACUUUUUUCUUUGUAUACACCAAACAGAGUAAUAUAGUACAGUUGACUCCAACGCUCCUCCAUAACGAGAAUAGGGUUGAUAAGCUUGAUUAUCCUUUCAUUUUCCUUAUGUCAAAAUAAAGAAAGAUAUCUUCAAACAAUUCAACGUUCUGUGAAAAGUUCUGGCAUGAUAGCUACCCAUCAGAGCAUAUACGCUGGACAUCUUCUAAUAGCUUCUGGCUUCUGAUGAACAGUUGCUUCUGACUGUCUUCAAUCUACUGAAGGUCAAGAGCCUCUGAACAUUCAAUCUUCUGAAACUCUUCAGAACUUAUCUUCUUAUCUUAAAAACUUAAAGAUCAUGCACAAUUAACAAAAAUAUUAGUACUACCAAUUGCGCAUUUAAUACUUAUUGUUAUCAUCGAAACUUAUAGCUUAAAUUUGGGACCUUAGAACCAAUUUUGUUCCAACAAACAUAUCUCUUUA